rnacentral:lncRNA from 1 species
UUCGUGUGAAAAUAUCAUAUUUUAACACUAACACGUGAAAUAUCAGUUUCUACUUGGAAAGAGUAAUCAUAAAUUCAUCAACUAUUUAUAAGGCCACAAAACUAGAGAAUGAUAAUUAAGCAUGUAAGAAAUAACAUACCGCUUCUUAUGCCGUUUUGUCUUGAAAUGUUCAUCUCUCAGUCACAUUCGCAAAGUAACGACUGCAAAUCAACCAAAGGAAGACAUAAUUAGAUGCAUACGAAUUCACACACAUACGCACGCACAUAUAAAUAUAUAAUUAAAUAAUUAUUAAUCGCAGUGUAAGCAGUAGAAUUGGCCCAUCCCAGGAAGAUCUUCAUCAACAGGCAAGGACUUAAUCUCCACGUCUGGUUUUUGAAGCUCAUCAUAAACAGCAUCGUCACGUGAACAAAAGGAUACAGAGUCAAGAAAAUACCAAAAAAAUCGAAAAUUGAACUCUAUAAAAGUAAAUAAAGGAGAGAAAUUGAGGACAAAAUAUAUAAACAGUGGAAAAGUAAGAAAAAGGAUAUCUUUAAUGAGGAAUUUAGAGCGACGAAAUUGCUUGUGAGAGUAUCUCCUUUUCUGUACCCUUCUGUGCGGGCACUUUCCUCCCAUUUUUUUCCAGAUUAGGGUUUUUUUUUUUUGCGUGAUUUUGUAAAACCCUAAAAUUGAAGAUAGAAUAUUUGUUUGGUUUUUCUUUGUUUAUUAAGGGUUUUGCCGUUUUUGGUAUUGGUUCGGGUCUAUAUUAGUCAGUAAGCCACCAUCCAGUACCCGUCACCCAAGCCCGAUUAAAACGAAAGACAUACUUUGCCCGGCUUAGGUACAUCUCCCUUCCACUGUUCCACAAUAUCUAAC